GCGGGGGAGGCGCGGCAGGAGAUGGGAUGGCUCCUGCGGGCCUGCCUAGGUGGUUCAGGUCUUUGGAAAACUGAUGGACGGGCGCCGUUGUGCGCCCGCCGGAGUCGUUAAACCCCAGUCACGGCGGGUUGGGCCGGGUGUAAGCGGUGUUGGGAAACCUCCGGACCGAAGCUGGCGGCGGGAUGUGGGGAGGGAUGGAGGUCAGGCAGGCGCCUUCUAGCCGGUGCUGCUGCAUUUUUGUUUUUCUCUGAUUUCACAUCAGUGAUCCCGUCCACUCGUUUCUUGUCAGAAUCACAGAACAAUUAGGUUGGAAAAGACCUCUGAGAUCCUCGAGUGUCAGAUCUUUGAGUGCAAACGCCAUCGUGUCUAGACCAUGGCACUGAGGGCCACGUCCAGUCCAGGGACGGCGAUUCCACCACCUCCCUGGGCAGACUGUUCCAAUAUCUAAUCUCUGAAAUAAUUACACCUAAUGUCCAACCUAAACUUCCCCUGGCACAGCUUGAGGCCACGUCCUCUUGUCCUUUUGUCAGAGAAAAGACCGAUCCCCACCUGGCUACACUCUCAGUGAACAUCAGAAUUGGAGGCACAAAUAUGUGAGAAGCUUGUCAGCGAUCAAGUUAAUUGUUACAGUGCCUGCUGUGCAUACAUAGAGCUCAUCAUACACUUUCUUUCUCCCUGAAUUUGCAUAACUUUUAAAAUUAUUACUAUAAUAAGCAUUCACAUUAAAAGAAUGGUAGAAAAUAAA